AAGAGAUCGGGAUAACACCUGGAAACAGAUGCUAAUACCGGAUAAUAACAGAUGAUGCCUAUCAACUGUUUAAAAGAUGGUUCUGCUAUCACUCUUGGAUGGACCUGCGGUGCAUUAGCUAGUUGGUAGGGUAACGGCCUACCAAGGCGAUGAUGCAUAGCCGAGUUGAGAGACUGAUCGGCCACAUUGGGACUGAGACACGGCCCAAACUCCUACGGGAGGCAGCAGGG
rnacentral:rRNA from 1 species